rnacentral:rRNA from 1 species
GUAUGAAGUCGGAAUUGCUAGUAAUCGUGGAUCAGCAUGCCACGGUGAAUACGUUCCCGGGCCUUGUACACACCGCCCGUCACACCAUGAGAGCCGGAACACCCGAAGUCCGUAGUCUAACCUAUAUGGAGGACGCGGCCGAAGGUGGGUUUGGUAAUUGGGGUGAAGUCGUAACAAGGUACC